rnacentral:rRNA from 1 species
UACGUAGGGUGCAAGCGUUAAUCGGAAUUACUGGGCGUAAAGCGUGCGCAGACGGUGAUGUAAGACAGAUGUGAAAUCCCCGGGCUCAACCUGGGAACUGCAUUUGUGACUGCAUCGCUAGAGUACGGCAGAGGGGGAUGGAAUUCCGCGUGUAGCAGUGAAAUGCGUAGAUAUGCGGAGGAACACCGAUGGCGAAGGCAAUCCCCUGGGCCUGUACUGACGCUCAUGCACGAAAAGCGUGGGGAGCAAACAGG